rnacentral:rRNA from 1 species
GACGAACGCUGGCGGCGUGCCUAAUACAUGCAAGUAGAACGCUGAAGGAGGAGCUUGCUUCUCUGGAUGAGUUGCGAACGGGUGAGUAACGCGUAGGUAACCUGCCUGGUAGCGGGGGAUAACUAUUGGAAACGAUAGCUAAUACCGCAUAAGAGUAGAUGUUGCAUGACAUUUGCUUAAAAGGUGCAAUUGCAUCACUACCAGAUGGACCUGCGUUGUAUUAGCUAGUUGGUGGGGUAACGGCUCACCAAGGCGACGAUACAUAGCCGACCUGCGAGGGUGAUCGGCCACACUGGGACUGAGACACGGCCCAGACUCCUACGGGAGGCAGCAGUAGGGAAUCUUCGGCAAUGGACGGAAGUCUGACCGAGCAACGCCGCGUGAGUGAAGAAGGUUUUCGGAUCGUAAAGCUCUGUUGUAAGAGAAGAACGAGUGUGAGAGUGGAAAGUUCACACUGUGACGGUAUCUUACCAGAAAGGGACGGCUAACUACGUG